rnacentral:rRNA from 1 species
UGGGGAAUAUUGCACAAUGGGCGAAAGCCUGAUGCAGCAACGCCGCGUGGGUGAAGAAGGCCUUCGGGUUGUAAAGCCCUUUUGUUGGGAAAGAAAUCCAGCUGGUUAAUACCCGGUUGGGAUGACGGUACCCAAAGAAUAAGCACCGGCUAACUUCGUGCCAGCAGCCGCGGUAAUACGAAGGGUGCAAGCGUUACUCGGAAUUACUGGGCGUAAAGCGUGCGUAGGUGGUCGUUUAAGUCUGUUGUGAAAGCCCUGGGCUCAACCUGGGAACUGCAGUGGAAACUGGACGACUAGAGUGUGGUAGAGGGUAGCGGAAUUCCUGGUGUAGCAGUGAAAUGCGUAGAGAUCAGGAGGAACAUCCAUGGCGAAGGCAGCUACCUGGACCAACACUGACACUGAGGCACGAAAGCGUGGGGAGCAAACAGGAUUAGAUACCCUGGUAGUCCACGCCCUAAACGAUGCGAACUGGAUGUUGGGUGCAAUUUGGCACGCAGUAUCGAAGCUAACGCGUUAAGUUCGCCGCCUGGGGAGUACGGUCGCAAGACUGAAACUCAAAGGAAUUGACGGGGUCAUAACUGUUU